rnacentral:misc_RNA from 1 species
CUGCCACUACAAAAGUUUAUGGUCAUUAUUUAUAAGUCCAUAUAUUAUAUAUAUAUAUGUUCAUUAUUCAAUAUUCCUCGUGAUAGUAGCUUUACAUUGGAGUGGGAAAGCGUCUUAGAGAAGAGGAACGAACUGUGAAAUGUCAUCAAUUACCUUUUCCAAUAACACAAUGCAACACGGAGCCGGGCUCAAGGGGAUUAAGGGCGUGG